rnacentral:precursor_RNA from 14 species
AGUCGGAAUAAUAUUUUAGAAAUAACGUGUUGUGAUAGUUGUCUUAUUCUCCUGCUUUUAAUACCGAGAAUAAGUCCAUUGUUGCACCAUGUUAUUUCCACUUACAUCGUGUCGUCAC